GUAGGUGGCAAGCGUUGUCCGGAAUUAUUGGGCGUAAAGCGCGCGCAGGUGGUUCUUUAAGUCUGAUGUGAAAGCCCCCGGCUCAACCGGGGAGGGUCAUUGGAAACUGGGGAACUUGAGUGCAGGAGAGGAAAGUGGAAUUCCACGUGUAGCGGUGAAAUGCGUAGAUAUGUGGAGGAACACCAGUGGCGAAGGCGACUUUCUGGCCUGUAACUGACACUGAGGCGCGAAAGCGUGGGGAGCAAACAGGGAUUAGAUACCCUGGUAGUCCACGCCGUAACGAUGAGUGCUAAGUGUUGGGGGGGUUUCCCGCCCCUCAGUGCUGCAGCUAACGCAUUAAGCACUCCGCCUGGGGAGUACGGUCGCAGGACUG
rnacentral:rRNA from 1 species